GACGGAGGAUGCAAGCGUUAUCCGGAAUUAUUGGGCGUAAAGCGUCCGCAGGUGGACAUACAAGUCUGCUGUCAAAGUGCAGAGCUUAACUCUGUAAAGGCGGUGGAAACUGUAGGUCUUGAGUAUGGUAGGGGUAGAGGGAAUUCCCGGUGUAGCGGUGAAAUGCGUAGAUAUCAGGAGGAACACCGAUGGCGAAGGCAGGUCUCUGGGCCGAUACUGACGCUGAGGAGCGAAAGCGUGGGGAGCGAACAGG
rnacentral:rRNA from 1 species